UCCGGUUGAUCCUGCCGGACCCGACUGCUAUCAGAGUGGGACUAAGCCAUGCGAGUCAACAUAGCAAUAUGUGGCAUACGGCUCAGUAACACGUAGUCAACAUGCCCAGGGGACGUGGAUAACCUCGGGAAACUGAGGAUAAACCGCGAUAAGUCACUGCUUCUGGAAUGGGCAAUGACUUAAAUCUAUAUGGCCCCUGGAUUGGACUGCGGCCGAUCAGGCUGUUGGUGAGGUAAUGGCCCACCAAACCUGUAACCGGUACGGGCUCUGAGAGGAGGAGCCCGGAGAUGGGCACUGAGACAAGGGCCCAGGCCCUAUGGGGCGCAGCAGGCGCGAAACCUCUGCAAUAGGCGAAAGCCUGACAGGGUUACUCUGAGUGAUUUCCGUUAAGGAGAUCUUUUGGCACCUCUAAAAAUGGUGCAGAAUAAGGGGUGGGCAAGUCUGGUGUCAGCCGCCGCGGUAAUACCAGCACCCCGAGUGGUCGGGACGUUUAUUGGGCCUAAAGCAUCCGUAGCCGGUUCUGCAAGUCUUCCGUUAAAUCCACCUGCUUAACAGAUGGGCUGCGGAAGAUACUAUAGAGCUAGGAGGCGGGAGAGGCAAGCGGUACUCGAUGGGUAGGGGUAAAAUCCGUUGAUCCAUUGAAGACCACCAGUGGCGAAGGCGGCUUGCCAGAACGCGCUCGACGGUGAGGGAUGAAAGCUGGGGGAGCAAACCGGAUUAGAUACCCGGGUAGUCCCAGCUGUAAACGAUGCAGACUCGGUGAUGAAUUGGCUUUAUGCCAAUUCAGUGCCGCAGGGAAGCCGUUAAGUUUGCCGCCUGGGGAGUACGGUCGCAAGACUGAAACUUAAAGGAAUUGGCGGGGGAGCACCACAAGGGGUGAAGCCUGCGGUUCAAUUGGAGGCAACGCCGGAAAUCUUACCGGGGGCGACAGCAGAAUGAAGGUCAAGCUGAAGACUUUACCAGACAAGCUGAGAGGAGGUGCAUGGCCGUCGCCAGCUCGUGCCGUGAGGUGUCCUGUUAAGUCAGGUAACGAGCGAGACCCCUGCCUCUAGUUGCUACCAUUAUUCUCAGGAGUAGUGGAGCUAAUUAGAGGGACUGCCGUCGCUGAGACGGAGGAAGGAGGGGGCUACGGCAGGUCAGUAUGCCCCGAAACCCUCGGGCCACACGCGGGCUGCAAUGGUAAGGACAAUGAGUAUCGAUUCCGAAAGGAGGAGGCAAUCUCUAAACCUUACCACAGUUAUGAUUGAGGGCUGAAACUCGCCCUCAUGAAUAUGGAAUCCCUAGUAACCGCGUGUCACUAUCGCGCGGUGAAUACGUCCCUGCUCCUUGCACACACCGCCCGUCGCUUCAUCGAAGUUGGUUCUUGGCGAGGUGAUGCCUAAUUGGUACUAUCGAACCUGGGGUCAGCAACGAGGGAG
rnacentral:rRNA from 1 species